rnacentral:rRNA from 1 species
AGCAGCCGCGGUAAUUCCAGCUCCAAUAGCGUAUAUUAAAGUUGUUGCAGUUAAAAAGCUCGUAGUUGAAUUUCGGGGUUAGUAGGCUGGUCAUGCCACCGGUAUGUACUGGUCUUUCUGAUUCCUCCUUCCUGAUGAACUGUAAUGCCAUUAAUUUGGUGUUGCAGGGAAUCUGGACUGUUACUUUGAAAAAAUUAGAGUGUUUAAAGCAGGCUAACGCUUGAAUACAUUAGCAUGGAAUAAUGAAAUAGGACGCUCGAUCCUAUUUUGUUGGUUUCUAGGAUUGACGUAAUGAUUAAUAGGGAUAGUUGGGGGCAUUAGUAUUCAAUUGUCAGAGGUGAAAUUCUUGGAUUUAUUGAAGACUAACUACUGCGAAAGCAUUUGCCAAGGAUGUUUUCAUUAAUCAAGAACGAAAGUUAGGGGAUCGAAGACGAUCAGAUACCGUCGUAGUCUUAACCAUAAACUAUGCCGACUAGGGAUCGGAUGAUGUUAAUUUUUAAUGA